CUGUAGACCAAGCAGGCCUCCAACUCAGAAAUCCGCCUGCCUCUGCCUCCCAAGUGCUGGGAUUAAAGGUGUGCGCCACCACGCCUGGCUCAGAAUGCUAAUAUUCUUGAUGAACAUGGAUACAAAAAACAAAAUCCUAAACAAAAGAUUAGUAAACAGAAUCAGAUCAGAUGACUGAUGGAAUAAUUUCAAGGAUGCAAGAAUGAUUCAAUACAAACAAUAAACAUGGCACAACACAGCACAAUGAAUGAUAAGAUCACUUCAAAAUAUCCCCAAAAAGGCAUUUGAUAAAAUCUUCAUGCUAAAGAGCUGAACAAGGGCCAGCAAGAUGGAUCACUGUCCGAAGGCCUUUGCCACAUAAGCCUAAUGACCUGAGUUUGAUCCCCAGAAGCCACGUCAAGGCGAAAAGACAGAAGCAACUCUACAUGCUCUGAAAUGUUCGGAAGGCAGCAAGAAUAUGAGCAAGAGGAAGAGAUAUUCAACUCCAGGGAAAACAACUGUGAAUGUCCAACAAUCAGUACUAAGGUAAAUAACAGCAUUCAGCAGUCCCACGACCCACUGAAAAACUGCUGAGAUUAGUGAAUCCAACAAGUUUGCACGCAGGAGACUCAACAUGACAACAACUGGAUGUGUUUCUGUACACUGACAAUGGAAACAUAGAACCUGAGAUUGGAAGCAUAAUACCGUUUUCACUGGAUAAAAGUUAAAAUUCAUUAGUAAAUUUAACAGAAUAAGUAGAAGAUUUAUAGUCCGAGAAGUUUCAAAAACUGAUGAAAUGAAUAUCUAAAUAGAUGGAAAAAUAAUGUUUAUGGAUUGGAAGACUCAAUAUUGUCACAAGAAAAGUUCAGUGCCCCCGUCCCCAAAAUACAGACUGAUAAAAUAAGUGUCCUUUUCACUCUUAGAAAUACUAAAAAGCCAACUCACAGAAAGGUGGAAAAUAUUUGCAAAACACAUAACCAACAAACAGUUUAUGUUCAGAAUAUAUAAAGAAUCUGUACAGAUCAGUAAGAAAUGCAAUAAAAAUGGUUGGGAAAGAAACUUGAGGAAGUAUAGUACUAAAAUCACAAGAAAAAUAUCCAAAUGGCCAAUCAACACAUGAAAAUGUGUUCAACCUCACUGACAAACGCACAUUAAAACCACGGGUCACUAGCUGGAGAGAUGGCUGGGCUGUUAAGAACACUGGCUGCCCUUGUAGAGGAGCCAAGUUUGGUUUCCAGAACCCACGUGGUUGACAACCCUCUGUAACACCAGUUCUGGGCAUCUGACAUCUUCUGAAUGCCUGAGGCUCUUGCCCAUAUGUGGUGUACAGACAUAUACUCAGGCACAGAUAUGUGAAAAAUUAAUAUUUAGAGCCACAGAUCCACACCUCUACACUUUCAGAAAAGAUUGGUGCAGCUCGGAAGCAGCUAAAGUGGUCACACACACUGUGCAGGCUGAAAUUAGUACCUUAGUUUUGAAAAAUAUUGACAGCAUCUGAAUCUUAAUCCAGUUACCUGGAAAUUUUACAAUCAGGAACUUGAUACUAUUUUCCAAAGAAUUUGUGUACAUUUACAAAAAUCCAUUAACUAAAGUAGAAACAACCCAAACGGUCACGGAUAAGUAUGGUUUAAUAUAACUGAAUGGCAUAUCUCACUGAAAAUAAACUCUAGUUACUUGGGCAAAGAACUAUUGAUUGAAAGUAGUCAAUUAGAAAGCAAGACAGAAAGACAUUCAGCCAUUUACACAGAAUUCAAAACUAAAGUAGCCUAUGGUGUUAGAAGCCAAAAUAGAUGCUACCUCUCAAGAGAGGGAGCAACUAGUGUUUGGAAGGGAGAACAAAGAAUUUCUGAGAUGCGGAAGUGUUCUUGGUGAAGGCUUUACCUUUGCCUGGGCUUAUAAAACACAUCUGAAGAUUAUAAGGGUGUGUUUAUCUAAGACAGCUUAAUGAGCUAUAUACAUUUAUGAUUUGUUUACUUAUUAGCAGUGUCUUAUUUUAAUCAGAUACUUGAAAAAAUAGACUCACAGGUCACAUCAGAAUAGUUGUCUAUAAGGAAACUAAAGGGAUGAAAAAUGAGCAUAGAAGAGUAACUGAUUAGGGAUGUGAGUAGGGAGAGCAAACACGCCCCGGUAAGGAGAUGGGAUGGAACCUGUGCUGGUAGUGUGCUCUAGUGCUGUGUGAGAGCUAAUGCGAACACUGGGCACAGCCAUCGUUUAAAAGUACACUAAAUUAAAAAAAAAAUCUGCUCUUCCCUUGCACUUGUCACAUUUCAAGUGCUCAGCAGCCACAGGAGUUCAGGAGCUCGAUUGUCUACCACAGGCAAAGGGGAGAGAGUGCCCAACAUCAUAGAAUGUUCUGCUGGAUGGCAUGGGCAGAUAUGGCUGCAAUCUGGAGAAGUAGUUAUGGUAAGAACAUAAAAAGAAUCUAAAACUCACCAGCAUUGAAAGUGUGCAUGUACCAAAAGU
rnacentral:lncRNA from 1 species